CCCCACCGCCAAAUAUACACGCUCUGGGCUUUCUGUACCUGCUUUGUUCCCUACUCCAGAAGAGGCCAAGCUCAAGGGCCCACCUGAGACUGAAGGCACUUGUACAUUCUCGUAGGCUCUGUGUUCCUUCUGUGACUGCACAGCUUAGUGCUUUGCCCUAUGACUUCCAGUUACAAAAGAGGAAGAUGUGAGCAAGUCUCCGACAGAUGGGUUCAGUGAAGCGGACAGCAUCCCUAAGCCUCUACCAGAGGGACAGCGAUGGGAAACUGAGGUCCAGAACAUGUGGGAAGAGGCUGGAGGUGUCACUGGAUCACCACUCAGGUCCCUGUGUCCUUCCUGUGCUCCCCCUCCAUGCACCCUAGACCCGCUUUGGCAGUACUGGGCUCUAAAUGCCUAUCCUCCUGAUCAUCUACCCUGAUUCGCCCCAUGCUCUUCUCUUGGCUGCUCUGUCCACGGGCUAAUCUAUGUGUUGUCAGAGCUCUUUUGUGCCCAACUAAACACAGAGGAUCUCCUCAGUCACUGCUCUAGAAUGGAACUCCAUCCUCUCCAUCACGUUGGGGUACCCUACUUUGGAGCUCUUGCUUCUCAUCAUCCUGGAGUUCCCGGCAGAUACAGGCUCCCAGAAAGAGAACCUUGGUUUGGUGGGGCUCAUUUCCCCAUCAGUUUGGGGGCUGUCAGGGUAGACUCAGCUCCUCUCCAGCUGUAGUCCUUCAGAGCCACCAAGGACCUCACACAUAGGAAGGUUCUUAUUCCAAAGCCCUUCCUGACAAUGUGACAGCCCUUUGGAGGAUGCAGAGGAUCUGGGUCCACAGGGCUUCUCUUCGAUAAACUCCCAACAGACUCCCUCUUCACAAACUUUCCCUGGCCUUCUGGACCUUUGUUCCCUACCGAUCACACGUUCGGCCAACAGCCCCUUCCUCAUUCCCUCUUGCCCUCUGUUGGACUCGAGACAGCCAAGCUGGGUCCAGCAAGCUGAGUUCAGGAGGCAGAAGCUUGGGGAUAGGCCUGGGUGGGGGGUGAGGAUGAGGGACAACCCACAGUUUGUGCACUUUUGGAAAGUCCUGCAGCAGUGAUCACUUCUAAACCCUUGUGGGGGGUCCGGGAGCAGGUGAACAGAGGAGUGGGGUGGAGGUAAAGAAGGGCCGCCGCGUCUGAGAAGGGAGGCAAGGACACAGAGCAGUGUUGGGGCUGAACUCACAGACUCUAGACCUGAGGUUUUGAUAUUUUCUUAGUUUGGUUUUAGUGUUUUCUCUUUCUUCUAGAGGUUUUCCUUAAAAAAAAAAAAAAAAGUCUCAACAUUGCCCCUUUACACCCAGCCCCAAGCAAAAGGGGAGCAUUCGUAGCAGAAGAACAGGGGCUGGGAGGCCCUCAUGGGUGCCAAGGGCCUAGCUGAGAGGGAAACCAGUGGGGGAGGAGGGGGUGUUGAACAGUAUUUCAAAGGUGCUCCCUAACGUGACCCCAAAGGGCUUACUUCCAUGGGUGGGAAGAAGCUGGAACAAGAUGAGGUAUGUAGGCGGAAAAAACCACUUGUAGUAGGUAACAUCUGCCCCCGCAGAACCUCUUCACACACUGCCACCUCUGUGCGGAGGAAAAAGGAAGGGGAAGGAGGUGCUCACCACACACCAACAGCCAUCGUGUAUGACUAGUGGGGUGUGGAGGGCGCUGUAAUGGGCCCUGCAGGUCUGUUGAGAGCUCUGCCCAGCAGCAUCCCACAGCCCACCCAGAAAAAGUGAGGUAGGAAAUCACAUUUGUCACCUGAGAAGAGGCAGGUAUGUGCCUGUGUGAGUGUGCGCGUGUGUACUUGCACCCCCAGGUCUUUGCAGUCUGUCGGGGUAUCUGUGUGAGGUGAGCAUCUAUGUCAAGGCCUGCUGGCAAGAUUAAGCUCAGAGGGUUCUGUGGGCUGAAGGGUGCCUGUGAGAGCUGUUCUUUUGUCCCGUGGCAGGGAAUGAGAGGCCAUUUUCAGAAAAGUCUUAAAAGGUCAUGGGGACAGAUUACAGAAAUAUUUCUUUUUUAAGGCUCACUGUUUCCUAAGGUGUCCCUGCAGCUGUUAACCGUCCUUGCUUGAUUAAAGUUUCCAACAACC